GACGAACCGUGCGAACGUUGUUCGGAAUCACUGGGCUUAAAGGGCGCGUAGGCGGACCACCAAGUCCGGGGUGAAAUCUUUCGGCUUAACCGGAAAACAGCCUUGGAUACUGGUGGUCUCGAGUGAGGUAGGGGCCGUUGGAACUUCCGGUGGAGCGGUGAAAUGCGUUGAUAUCGGAAGGAACGCCGGUGGCGAAAGCGGUCUCCUGGGGCACACUUGACGCUGAGACGCGAAAGCUGGGGGAGCGAACGGG
rnacentral:rRNA from 1 species